UCCGAAUUGGUGUAGGGGUCAACAUUGCCGCUUCUCACUCUUACGUAAUCCUCAUUUGAUAACGUAAUCUGUGUCGCGGCAGCCCGGGGUUCGAUUCCCCGAUUCGGAA